rnacentral:rRNA from 1 species
GAUGAACGCUGACAGAAUGCUUAACACAUGCAAGUCUACUUGAAUUUGGGUUUUUUAACUUAGAUUUGGGUGGCGGACGGGUGAGUAACGCGUAAAAAACUUGCCUCACAGCUAGGGACAACAUUUGGAAACGAAUGCUAAUACCUGAUAUUAUGAUUAUAAGGCAUCUUAGAAUUAUGAAAGCUAUAUGCGCUGUGAGAGAGCUUUGCGUCCCAUUAGCUAGUUGGAGAGGUAACGGCUCACCAAGGCGAUGAUGGGUAGCCGGCCUGAGAGGGUGAACGGCCACAAGGGGACGGAGACACGGCCCUUACUCCUACGGGAGGCAGCAGUGGGGAAUAUUGGACAAUGGACCAAGAGUCUGAUCCAGCAAUUCUGUGUGCACGAUGACGUUUUUCGGAAUGUAAAGUGCUUUCAGUUGGGAAGAAAAAAAUGACGGUACCAACAGAAGAAGUGACGGCUAAAUACGUG